GCAAUGCUCAGAAAGUUCCCAGGUCCCUUAGACGUAAUCUAAGAGUAUACUCUGCAUUUUUUUGGUUGACAUAUGGUCCAACUAAUAAAGCCCAGUAAAUUAAAAGCUUGUAAUAAUACCAAUAAGCUCUUUCAUAGAACUCAUACCGAAACCCUUUUAUUAAAUGGUGUUAAGCGGUUAUUCGGGUUUUCUUCAAAUCACUUAUAAUUCAAGUCUCAUUUCCACAUGGGGUAUUCCAUCUUCUAAAUAGGCAUCGCUGCAUUUUUUAAAUCCAACGGAACGAUAUAAAGGUUGUGCGUAUUCUUGACUUGAUAAUACAAAUGUCUUUGAUGAUGAAAACUCUUGCUUGCUUGUUUCUAAUGCCUGGAGCAUGAGCUUACGACCAUACCCAUUUUUUCUCUCAUCAGGGUCGACAACCACCCGACCGAUUCGCACCGUCUGUUGCUGUUCUGGAAUAAGUCGUGCAUAUGCCACUAAUUUUCCAUUGGCGUUUCUCAACAUUAAAUGCCCACAUUUUAAAUCAAUUUCAUCAACCUCGGGAUAUGCGCAUUUUUGUUCCACUACAAACACAUUUGUACGCAAAAGGUAAAUGUCAUACAGCUCUUUAACAUCCAAGCUGUUAAAAUAUUUAUACACAAACUCCAAGUUACUCAUUUAAAAGCUUUAACUAAUAAAAUAAAAAGAAAGUGAUGAAACGGUAAACUAUCUGUCAACCAACAGGCUCCUGUAUCAAAAAUUAACUAUCAAAGCUCUUAAUCGGUUUAUAGCUUCGUAUUAGUGUGUCCAAACCCGUGAAUUUUAGAAAGUAGGUAUUUGCCGGAUGCUGUUUAGAAGUUUUAAAGAUAGUGGAAUAAUAAAAAAAAAAAAAACGCCUGGAAUAAAGUGCGCGGAAAAUGAAAAAUGUUUCCUUAUAUUUAAGUAUCAGAGAAAACCAGGAAGUUAGCUGAUGCGACAGGAGAUAAAAAAUUUUAUACGAUGAAUCACUUAAUCUGUCCUUGACCCGAAUACAAUCUUUUAAUCAAGGAUAAGAAUAUUUUUUUUGAAUGAGUAAUAGUUACAGAAUGCAAAGGUUUGCUAAUUUUACUCGCUACAAAAUACUUUUUGAAGCUUUAAACAUGAUCUUCAGUUUAAUUCAUUAGAAAAGAUUUGUUCCAUGGAAUUUAAAAAAAUAUACUUAUGUCGUUCCCGAUGGCUUGAUAGUGUACAGUGUUCUUGACAGAGGAACCUAUCUAUUUUAAAUCAAUUACAUUAAAGUACUGAAUAAAUAUUUGUUUCUAAAGAAUUAAAUUAUCUAAAACGAUUGUAAACUUUCUAAAACUAGCAUUUUUCAUAUAUAUAUUGACUGAUAUCUUUUAGACAUCUAGUCCGUUGCAAAGAUCAACUUGAUGGUGCUUUGAGACCAUGGUUUCCGGUAUAGUUAACAACUUGUGGAGGAACCCAACCUUUCAAUGAGUUCUCUUCAUCUUCUAACUCAUAGACUUCUAUAGCCAAAGGCCUACAGCAAUCCACCAUUUUGCUGCUUUCAACAUCAGUAGCGUCCUCUCCCCAGCCCCAAUUUGAUAAGUCUCCACCAGGACAAGCACUAAUUGCAACCAAUAAAUCUUGUUCUGCGAAACAUUGGAAAUAAUCUUUUGAAGUUGCGGGACACGUUUCCAUGAAGUAUUGAUCAUAUUCGUUAAGCCCGGUGACUUGAAAGACAUUCAAUACAUCAUGGACGUCAAACUCUGUCAAGCCAUAUGGCAUUAUAGCUCUCGUUAAAUUGGAAUGACAAUGCAAAUCGUUAUCCUUCCCAGAAAUUAAUUUAUCGAUGUAUGGAUCACAUCUUGUACCGAGUGUGUCAUGAACUCGUCCACCCCAUUCAUCGUGUCGUGCCUGAAGCGAAUCCCCAAUUAUUGUAACUAGGGGUCGUAAAUACGGUAGUGUUGACCAUAAUCUGUCAUAAGUAGAAACAUGUGCAGAAUGUAUUUGGCGAGUUCUAGCUGCCCAAAAUCUUUCUCGAGGAUUGUGAAAGUUCCAAAUAUUUAAAUCACAUACCUGAGGGCCUUCAGGUACGACAAUGCUAAAUAUUGAUUUUUGGGGAAUCUUCACAGCAAGGCCAGUUCUGGGUUGGCAUACAUGUCUUCCUACUAAUUUUUUAGGAGCAUUGGCUAUACGAGCAUAAAGUUCUUUAUCUGCAUACAAGGGGGAACCUGGAUGUGGAUAGUACGCGGGUAAAGGUUUAGGUAAAUUAUAUUUUGUUUUCUCGGGUUUUUGAGAAGAAGAAGCUAAUUCUGAAAUUUCUGUCAUCUAAAAGUUAAAAUAAAAUACGUUAGAAUUGAAUUUCAAAAUAGAAGACGAUUGCUACCCAUGUGAAUGAAAGGCUUUCAUGUUGGAUAGUUAAUUUAUAACGUCUGUCGGCCAGUUGGUUUCCUUCCCCUAUCUACUAAAGCGUUAAAAACACUGCUUUUCCGAUUGAUUUAAGCGAAUAUACCUAUCUACUGUGGGGCCCCGCUUCAAAUAAGAUAGAAUAACAUGUAUUUGUGUGUUUGUUAUCACUCAUGAUAUUCUCGCAGAAUAUCACGCUGUAUGCUCUGUAAACAUAUCCUCGGCUGUGCCUGUUGCAGUAGAAUUAGCUGUUAAUGCUCUCACAACAUUCUGAUAUCGCGAUUUUUCACAUUCCAGUGAAAUGAAUAACUUGCUGCUUAGCGCAAGAGAAUGCCAUAAAUUCUAUGUGUUAGUUUAAAUUUAUUGAUUUGAAAAAGUAAGUGUAC